ACGAACGCUGGCGGCGUGCUUAACACAUGCAAGUCGAACGGAAAGGCCCUGCUUUUGUGGGGUGCUCGAGUGGCGAACGGGUGAGUAACACGUUAGUAACCUGCCCUUUACUUUUGGAUUACUUCAGGAAACUGGGGCUAAUACCGGAUAGGAGCUCCUGCUGCAUGGUGGGGGUUGGAAAGUUUCGGCGGUUGGGGAUGGACUCGCGGCUUAUCAGCUUGUUGGUGGGGUAGUGGCUUACCAAGGCUUUUACGGGUAGCCGGCCUGAGAGGGUGACCGGCCACAUUGGGACUGAGAUACGGCCCAGACUCCUACGGGAGGCAGCAGUGGGGAAUAUUGCACAAUGGGCGGAAGCCUGAUGCAGCAACGCCGCGUGCGGGAUGACGGCCUUCGGGUUGUAAACCGCUUUCGCCUGUGACGAAGAGUGAGUGACGGUAAUGGGUAAAGAAGCACCGGCUAACUACGUG
rnacentral:rRNA from 1 species